rnacentral:rRNA from 1 species
AUUGAACGCUGGCGGCAUGCUUUACACAUGCAAGUCGAACGGGGUGGGGGGCAACUCCCAUUCAGUGGCGAACGGGUGAGUAAUGUAUCGGAACGUAUCCCGUAGUGGGGGACAACGCCGUCACAGCGGCGCCAAUACCGCAGAUGCUCUACGGAGGAAAGUGGGGGACCGCAAGGCCCCACGGUAUGGGAGAGGUCGAUUUCCGAUUAGCUAGUGGGUGAGGUGAUGGCCCACCAAGGCGACGAUCGGUAGCUGGUCUGAGAGGAUGAUCAGCCACACAGAGACUGAGACACGGCCCAGACUCUGACGGGAGGCAGAAGUGGGUAAUUUUGGUCUAUGUGGGCAACUCUGAUCCAGCCAUGCCGCGUGCGGGAAGAAGGCCUUCGGUUUGUAAACCGCUUGUAGUCGAGAGGAAAAGGCGUCUCCUAAUACGGGGCGUUCUUUACGGUACCGGCGGAAUAAGCACCGGCUAACUACGUGCCAGCCGCCGCCGUAACAC